GAUGAACGCUAGCGGCAGGCUUAACACAUGCAAGUCGAGGGGCAGCGCGGGAUAGCAAUAUCCUGGCGGCGACCGGCGGAAGGGUGCGUAACGCGUGAGCGACAUGCCCGUUGCCCGGGGACAACCGGUGGAAACGCCGACUAAUCCCCGAUGGGAUACGAUGCUUCAUGGCAUUGUAUUGAAAGUUACGGCGGCGACGGAUUGGCUCGCGUCCGAUUAGCUGGUUGGCGGGGUAACGGCCCACCAAGGCUGCGAUCGGUAGGGGUUCUGAGAGGAAGGCCCCCCACAAUGGGACUGAGACACGGCCCAUACUCCUACGGGAGGCAGCAGUGAGGAAUAUUGGACAAUGGGCGGAAGCCUGAACCAGCCAUGCCGCGUGCGGGAAGGAGGCCCUAUGGGCUGUGAACCGCUUUUGCCUGGGGGCAAUAAGGGCGUCGCGCACGUCCGAUGAGAGUACCAGGCGAAUAAGCAUCGGCUAACUCCGUG
rnacentral:rRNA from 1 species